GAGCGAGGUGGGGGUGGCUCCCGCGGCCCCAGCACGGAGUCCCACAUCAGCCGGGACGCGGGAUGCGAGCCAACGCGGCAGGAGCAGGAGUGCACCGGCCCCGCUGUAGGGACAGACGGAAGGUCCCUAGGGGCCAAAGAAGUGGGAUCGGCUCCCGGGCUCACCCGCUGCUGCCACAAGGGUCCCUGCGGUCCCUGCUGCGCUGCUGGGGCGGCUCCACAGGUCUGUGCCGGUGGGGGAAGCCUUCCUGCUGGGAACCAGCCGUGGCGCCGGCGGAGCUACGGCACAAGGUGCACCACCACCUGCCAGCGAGGGCAGCGCACGUGUGCACGGUGCCAAAAACYGCCCGUUCCGGCAAAGUCACCCCGUGCACCGGAGCCGCUCAGCAAAGGCGGACGCCCCGGCUUGGCGGUGGGGACCUGCUCCGGCUCCCUCGGGCAUCCCAAAUCCCCGGCACCACCCCGCCCAGGAGGCAGCAGCGGCAGGGAGGUGCUGAGGAAACCUGCUCCCCUGCAAGGAGAGCUUUGGAAAGCAACUAAAAGAAACGUGCUGGGAGCCACACGGCUGCGGCCCGUCGGUUCUGCUGCGGUCCCGUUCCCUGCGGAGCACCCGGCUGCGCGGCGCCGCAGCCCUCUCCCCUCGGCCAGCACGGCCACGACAGGAGUUAGGGCAGGGACAGCCUCGAAAGAGAAGCUGCUAUCGGAUCGCGUCCUGCUCCCCCUGCAAAAUAUAGAAAUAUGGAGUAUAUGUUUAUAUAGCAAUUCCCGCAUAUUCAUUUAUGCAUAUAUAAAAUUACUUGCCGUGGGGCCCCUCUCCCGCAGCGCCGAGCCCUUGGCGCCGCCCCGACGAGCCCCGGGGCCGCCUGCCGAGCAGCCGCRCGGGGUCCGAGAAAGGAACCGAGGCAAGAAAAAGAAACCGGCCGCUGAACGGGGACAGGUCCGGGCAGGCGCUGCCGCCCCGCUGUGCCAACUGGCCCCGGCGCGGCACCUCCUGAGCGGCACGGACAGGCCUUGCCCCAGAGACGCGUGGAAGAAGAAGCAGACGUUCACACAGGGUGUACAUAUCUGUUUUUUGCUUUUAAUGCACUUUUAUUGUCACUCCUUCCGCCUGCCGCUGCGGCCCCACCGGGCCAGYGAGAUGCAGGAUGCAGCCGCCCCCACUGCAGCUCCCUUUGCUCCCGACUCGCCGAGAGCCGAGAAAAACCCUCGAAACGCCCCUGCUGCUGCAGCGAGAUCCUUAAAGAAGAGACCUCCAUUUUCCACGGGGCCGGUUUCGCCUCCCUCUGUCUCGGCCUGA
rnacentral:lncRNA from 1 species